rnacentral:rRNA from 1 species
CCUACGGGGGGCUGCAGUGAGGAAUAUUGGUCAAUGGCCGGGAGGCUGAACCAGCCAAGUCGCGUGAGGGAAGACGGCCCUACGGGUUGUAAACCUCUUUUGUCAGGGAGCAAGGUGCAGGUCGGGACCUGCUGUGAGAGUACCUGAAGAAAAAGCAUCGGCUAACUCCGUGCCAGCAGCCGCGGUAAUACGGAGGAUGCGAGCGUUAUCCGGAUUUAUUGGGUUUAAAGGGUGCGCAGGCGGAGGCACAAGUCAGCGGUAAAAUCGCGGGGCUCAACCCCGCUCCGCCGUUGAAACUGUGUCCCUGGAGUGCGCGGAAGGCAGGCGGAAUUCGUGGUGUAGCGGUGAAAUGCUUAGAUAUCACGAAGAACCCCGAUUGCGAAGGCAGCUUACCAAGCUAUAUCUGACGUUGAGGCACGAAAGCGUGGGGAGCAAACAGGAUUAGAUACCCCUGUAGUC